UUUGAGACACCGGUUCCAGUACGAUCACCGAAAUUAAGCAACGUCGAGCCUGGUCAGUAUCUAGAUUGGUGACCGCUUGUGAAUACCAGAAUACUGUAA